rnacentral:rRNA from 1 species
AAUCAACGCUGGCGGCGUGCCUAACACAUGCAAGUCGUACGCGAAAGGGGAGCAAUCCCUGAGUAGGGUGGCAAACGGGUGAGUAACACGUGGGUGACCUGCCUCAGAGUGGGGGAUAACGUCCCGAAAGGGACGCUAAUACCGCAUAACAUCCUGCCUUUGGAAAGGCGGAGAUCAAAGCCGGGGAUCGCAAGACCUGGCGCUUGGAGAGGGGCCCGCGUCUGAUUAGCUAGUUGGUAGGGUAAUGGCCUACCAAGGCAACGAUCAGUAUCCGGCCUGAGAGGGCGGACGGACACACUGGGACUGAGACACGGCCCAGACUCCUACGGGAGGCAGCAGUGGUGAAUUGUUCGCAAUGGGCGCAAGCCUGACGACGCAACGCCGCGUGGAGGAUGAAGAUCUUCGGGUCGUAAACUCCUGUCGAGCGGGAAGAACACUUUCCGGGCGAAUAUCCUGGAAGGCUGACGGUACCGCUAAAGGAAGCCCCGGCUAACUCCGUGCCAGCAGCCGCGGUAAUACGGGGGGGGCAAGCGUUGUUCGGAAUUACUGGGCGUAAAGGGCUCGUAGGCGGCCAACUAAGUCAGACGUGAAAUCCCCAGGCUCAACCUGGGAACUGCGUCUGAUACUGGAUGGCUUGAAUCCGGGAGAGGGAUGCAGAAUUCCAGGUGUAGCGGCGAAAUGCGUAGAUAUCUGGAGGAAUACCGGUGGCGAAGGCGGCAUCCUGGACCGGCAUUGACGCUGAGGAGCGAAAGCCAGGGGAGCAAACGGGAUUAGAUACCCCGGUAGUCCUGGCCCUAAACGAUGAAUGCUUGGUGUAACGGGUAUCGAUCCCUGUUGUGCCGAAGCUAACGCAUUAAGCAUUCCGCCUGGGGAGUACGGUCGCAAGGCUG